GGGAAAUUCUGUCUACAAUCUGACUGUCUGAGACCUGACAACACAGACCUAAGCAAAUCUAGCAAGGAGAGGCAGUUGUGAUCUGCAGUGAAAACUCUGACGGGAGGACUUGCUAUUCUUGACAAAUAACCUAAGGUGGUGCAGGCCAUCAACAAAGUCCUACUGCACAGGGUCAUCAGCCUCAGUGAUGUCAACCUCAUCAUUGCUGGCUUUUCUGACAUGGGCUUCCCCAACUGUGAGGGAUCUACUGACAGCACCCAUAUCCCUAUCCAGACGCCUGACCACUGGGCAUCUAUGUAUAUUCAUCGGAAGGGAUACUUCUCAGUGGUCCUGCAGGCUGUCGUAGACCACCAUGGGCAGUUCACAGAUAUAUACGUCAGCUGGUCGGGGAAGGCACACAACACCCAUAUCUUCUGCAACUUGAGCAUGUUCGAGAAGCUGCAUGCUGGAACUUUUUUCCCCAACCGCACCAUCAGGGCUGGGGAGGUGGAGAUGCCCAUGUGCAUGGUGGGGGACACAGCCAACCUUCCAUUUCCCUGGCUCAUGAAGCCCUAUACUGGCCACCUUGACCACU